ACAGGUGCUGCAUGGCUGUCGUCAGCUCGUGUUGUGAAAUGUUGGGUUAAGUCCCGCAACGAGCGCAACCCUUAUUUUUUGUUGCCAGCAUUUCGGACGGGAACUCUAAGGAGACUGCCAGGGAUAAACUGGAGGAAGGUGGGGAUGACGUCAAAUCAUCAUGCCCCUUACGACCAGGGCUACACACGUGCUACAAUGGCGUAAACAAAGAGAAGCGACCUCGCGAGAGCAAGCGAACCUCAUAAAUUACGUCUCAGUCCGGAUUGGAGUCUGCAACUCGACUCCAUGAAGUCGGAAUCGCUAGUAAUCGUGAAUCAGAAUGCCACGGUGAAUACGUUCCCGGGUC
rnacentral:rRNA from 1 species